GAUUUAUAAUUAAAAUUCUGGGGCCUUAAGCGCGCGUAGGCGGGUUUGUUAAGUCAGAUGUGAAAUCCCCCUUCAAAAAAAAAAAAAAGGCAUUUGAGACUGGCAGGCUAGACCGCGUUAAAAGGAGAGUGGAAUUUCAGGUGUAGCGGUGAAAUGCGUAGAGAUCUGAAGGAACAUCAGUGGCGUUUGCGACUCACUGGGCCAUUACUGACGCUGAGGUGCGAAAGCGUGGGUAGCAAACAGGAUUAGAUACCCUGGUAGUCCACGCCCUAAACGAUGUCAACUAGGUGUAUGGAGAAUUUAUUCUUUGUGUAUCGAAGCUAACGCGAUAAGUUGACCGCCUGGGGAGUACGGUCGCAAGACUAAAACUCAAAUGAAUUGACGGGGGCCCGCACAAGCGGUGGAGCAUGUGGUUUAUUUCUUUGCAACGCGAAGAACCUUACCUGGCCUUGACAUGUACGGAAGAUUGAAGAGAUUCGAUUGUGCCUUCGGGAACCGUAACACAGGUGCUGCAUGGCUGUCGUCAACUCGUGUCGUGAGAUGUUGGGUUAAGUCCCGCAACGA
rnacentral:rRNA from 1 species